UACGAAGGGGGCUAGCGUUGCUCGGAAUCACUGGGCGUAAAGCGCACGUAGGUGGCUUGUUAAGUCAGGGGUGAAAUCCUGGAGCUCAACUCCAGAACUGCCUUUGAUACUGGCGAGCUUGAGUUCGGGAGAGGUGAGUGGAACUGCGAGUGUAGAGGUGAAAUUCGUAGAUAUUCGCAAGAACACCAGUGGCGAAGGCGGCUCACUGGCCCGAUACUGACACUGAGGUGCGAAGGCGUGGGGAGCAAACAGG
rnacentral:rRNA from 1 species